UUACGGCCAUACCAUGUUGAAACACCAGUUCUUGUACGAUCACCAAAGUUAAGCAAUGUCAAGCUUAGUCAGUAUCUAGAUGGGUGACUGCUUGGAAAUACCAGAUGC